UACGUAGGGGGCAAGCGUUGUCCGGAUUUAUUGGGCGUAAAGAGCGUGUAGGCGGUUUGGUAGGUCCGCUGUGAAAACUCGAGGCUCAACCUCGAGACGCCGGUGGAAACCAUCAGACUAGAGUCCGGAAGAGGAGAGUGGAAUUCCUGGUGUAGCGGUGAAAUGCGCAGAUAUCAGGAGGAACACCAAUAGCGAAGGCAGCUCGCUGGGACGUUACUGACGCUGAGGAGCGAAAGCAUGGGGAGCGAACAGG
rnacentral:rRNA from 1 species